rnacentral:lncRNA from 10 species
AGGUGUUGGGACUUUGAUGGGAAAAAGGUGAAGCAAAAUGUGGUAAACAGGAAUGAAAAGCCAGAAUGAAUAAAGGAAGCCUUCAUUGUUCUGACUGGGGCCUGAGCAGUGAGCAGAAUGGAAUGUCUAUCAGGACAGCCGUAGAUUUCCACAGCUUCCUGCUUUCGUCAGCUUCAGCUUAACAUCUAUUAUUGUGAAGAGUAGGGUCUUCCAAGUUUAUAAGAAGAAUCAGAUUUCCAAGAGCAAUUUACCCCUUUCUUCAUUCUGUUAGGCAUUAUUUGGAAUGGCUUUUCUUCGAUGAAUUCAAUUAACAGGUGUGAGCCACUGCACCCAGCCUAAAGAGAAUAUUUUCUCAAUUAAAAAUACUAUAGUCUUCAGAAAAGAAUCAAUUAAAGUGAUGAGAAAUUUCAAAUAUAUUAACUACAAACUGCAACUUUGAAAAAUAUUGCAGGCAAUUUUAUUAAGUUCUACAGAGAAAUGUCAGUAACAUGGUAUUAGAAAUAAAUAUAGCUGAUAAACAGAUUAAAGUUUAUGAAUAUAUACCAAGAAUAAUUAUUCUGCUUAUGUAAUUUUAAUUUUGGAAAACCAUUUUGAAAAGUUUGUUACAUGAAAUGUUAUUUUUAAAAGAAUUUCAUAUUUGAAAAUAGUUUGAAUAUAUAAUUUUUAAGUAUUUUCAAUGCAAUUAGUCCAAUUUUCUGAUCAAUAAAUAUCUUUUAAAAGUA